rnacentral:lncRNA from 1 species
AAAGGAAGAAAGCCUUGACCAAGAAAGAGUCAAGCAAGAAAAUAAAAGUUAGGAGCAACAAUGAUGAUAUUAGCUCCAAGGAACUACAAGAGGUAACUAACUUGUACUUUAUAGCACAAGAAGACAAGGUAAAAUCUGAAUCUACUCUUACAUCAAAUGAUUUUCAAGAAGAAUUCUCUUAUGAUGAAUUAUUAAAUGCUUUUCAUGAUUUGUAUGGUGAAUGUAGAAAAUUAGCUGUGAAGAAUAAAAAUCUUAAGAAACUAAAUCUGAAAAUUUCAAAAGAAAGAAAUUCUAAUGAUGAAAUAUAAGAU